rnacentral:rRNA from 1 species
CAGCCGCCGCGGGAAUACGAGGGGGGCAAGCGUUGUUCGGAAUUAUUGGGCGUAAAGGGUGCGUAGGCGGCUUGACAAGUCUUGUGUGAAAUCUAUGGGCUCAACCCAUAGUCUGCACGGGAAACUGUCGGGCUUGAGAAUGGGAGAGGUGAGUGGAAUUUCCGGUGUAGCGGUGAAAUGCGUAGAUAUCGGAAGGAACACCUGUGGCGAAAGCGGCUCACUGGACCAUUUCUGACGCUGAUGCACGAAAGCUAGGGGAGCAAACAGGAUUAGAUACCCCCGUAGUCCCUGUCUCUUAUAC